GUCUUAUAGUUGUGGUUUAAGUUCUCAUUGCCCAACAGUAUACUCUGAGUCACUGUCCUGUCACAGCCAUAUUUCCGGCUGGCAUUGUAUCUGCAACCAAGAGUGUGACUGCAAGAACACAAGGCAUUGUGUAAAGAUAGAUGAGCUGUGUGAGUCAGGAGUUCUGCUCUCCAGGUCUGAGGCUGUUCAUUGCCUGGGUUUGUCCAGUGGGCCUGAAGCCAUGGAGAGCAUAAUAUUUAGAGGUGGCGAACCCGGCACCACUCUGCUUGCAUUCUUUGCUCCAGGCCUUCUGACCUAGUUGUCCUUUUCCUGUACCCCAUGCUUGCUCCCUGAGCCCUGACACUUGCUGUUCUCCAGAUUGAGGCUUUCUCCUCUUGCUUCAUACUCCCCUCCCUCAGCCCACUAUGCACUAUGUCAGGCCAACUGAUCUUACUCCGCAGGAGAGUCUGAGGUUCGCUGUUGCUUCCUGUGGGGAGGCUUUUCUGAGCCCCCAAGCCUGGUGCUGUGUGCUCCCGUGGCAGCCCCUGCUUCUCCUGUAUACCACAUAUUGCCAACUUGCUUCUGACUUUCCCCUACUGAGCUACAUUCUCCAUGAGCUGCCUCCUGGUUAUAAAGCAAAGCCAAACUGGAGAGAAGACCAGUGCCAGAGCCUUUAUUACUAAAAGACAGAGUUUUACUCUUGUUGCCCAGGCUGAAGUACAAUGGAGCGAUCUCGGCUUACUGCAACCUCCGCCUCCCAGGCUCAAGCAAUUCUCCUGCCUCAGCCUCCUGAGUAGCUGGGAUUACAGGCAUGCGCCACCAUGCCUGGGUUUGUAUUUUUAGUAGAGAUGGGGUUUCUCCAUGUUGGUCAGGCUGGUCUCGAACUCCCAACCUCAGGUGAUCUGCCCCUCUCGGCCUCCCAAAGUGGUGGGAUUACAGGCGUGAGCCACUGCACCUGGCCUUGUUCACUUUUUUUCUAAAAUGCUUUUUUACUUUUUGCUAUAUUCCAAAAUGACAUGUUGUUUAGUUUUGAAUGUUUUUGGACUUUAAACAAAUGGAAUCAUACUGUAUGAAUUUGCUGCAACUUGUGUGUUUUACUCAGACAUUUGAUCUUGAGUUUCAUCCGUGUAGUUGUGUGUCACUGUAAUUAAUUCCUAUAAUAAGAAUUAUAUGGCGCUAGAGCAUAUAAAUACACCACAGUGUGGUUUAUUCAUUCAGAUGUGGGUGAAUGUUUGCAUUGUUUCCAUUUUUAAAACACGAUCUAGACAAGACUUUUUCGAUCAUUCUUGUAUGAGUCCCUUUGUGCACAUAUACAGGAGCUCUAGGGUAUAAUCCUGCAUGCGGACCUGCUGGAUUACAGGACACAUGCAUCUUCAU